GACGAACGCUGGCGGCGUGCCUAAUACAUGCAAGUAGAACGCUGAAGAGAGGAGCUUGCUCUUCUUGGAUGAGUUGCGAACGGGUGAGUAACGCGUAGGUAACCUGCCUUGUAGCGGGGGAUAACUAUUGGAAACGAUAGCUAAUACCGCAUAACAAUGGAUGACACAUGUCAUUUAUUUGAAAGGGGCAAUUGCUCCACUACAAGAUGGACCUGCGUUGUAUUAGCUAGUAGGUGAGGUAAUGGCUCACCUAGGCGACGAUACAUAGCCGACCUGAGAGGGUUGUCCGCCCCACUGGGACUUGGCCACGGCCCCGACCCCUACGGGAGGCAGCCGUAGGGAAACCUCGGCCAUUGGGGCAACCCUGACCGAGCAACGCCGCGUGAGUGAAGAAGGUUUUCGGAUCGUAAAGCUCUGUUGUAAGUCAAGAACGGGUGUGAGAGUGGAAAGUUCACACUGUGACGGUAGCUUACCAGAAAGGGACGGCUAACUACGUG
rnacentral:rRNA from 1 species